UCUCUUCUUGCUCAUUCUGAAAGAUUCUAUUAGUCCAUUUUCGGCAAGGAGCUGAGGCUAGCCUCCAGAUAAUAGCCAGUGAGGAGCUACCUCCUGCUGACAACCACAUAAGUGAGCUUGGAGAGAGAUGCUUUCCCUGUUGAGCCUUCCGAUGAGACUGCAGCCCCAGCUGACACCUUGGCUGCAGCCCCCUGGGAGACUCAGAGAUAGGUAGCCAGCUAAGCUGAGAUAAGAAAGCUUUGUUAUUUAAAACCAUUAAACUUAGGAGUCAUUUCUUAUAUAGUAAUAGAUAACUAAGACAUCACCUAUGUACUAUGUUCUUGAGAAAUGGAAUUUCAGAUUUUUCCUAAGUUAGGGAAGAAUUGCCUUUUAUUUAUUCAUUUAAUUUCUACUCAGUUAGAAAUUUUAUGAGCUGUUCAUUAAAAAAUAAAAAGCUAAAUGUAGCCUCUACCAUUGAAAUCACCUUUUUCAUUUUCUACCCUGCUUAUAAGCAGGACCUUAACACAGUCUCCUUGCAUUUUAAGAUUUUAUCAUUUUUUAAUUCUUAAAAUGAAAGAAAAAAGAAAACAAAAGUUGGAGAUAUUUUCUUGCAUGUACUAUUGAUGUUCUUUAUACAGAAACCAACAUCUUCCCUCAAUCUCAAUUUCUGGCCUCUUGCUCUAUCAAGUGUUGCAAAAUUACAUUUUUCCCUACAUUACCUGGAAAGAUUGUUCCUUUUCAUAUCUUAUGCACUAGCUGUUCUGACAGAGCAAUCUCUGUGAAAAAUAUAAAGAACCCGUUAUUUGGUUAAAUUAAUGCUUCCAUUAUAAUGGGUAUAUUAUGGGAUCAUGACAUUUUUUCUCAUUCCUGCCCCACUGGGAGGCUACACUGAGCGCCACCAAACAUCUCAGCCAAUUUUAGCCCUGAGUGAAAACUUUGCUCUAAGCAACCUCUGCAAUAUUAGCCAUAGGGAGCGGUUGCUUUCUGCAAAUAGAAGAUAAGUUUUAAGAAGUGCUCGUAAAGAAGGCUUGGAAUCAGACUUUGUCUCCACAUGCAAAACAACGUGGAAACCCGAGGCAACCAUCCCGACAGCUCAAGCCCUCCCAAAAUCUGCUUUUGCUGGAAAUAUCUUGAUAAUUUAUAUAAAAAUAUGGAGGAGUGAGUUUUCCUGUGUGAGAAACAGGACACUCUGUCUGGCUCCCAUGACUUUACCCAGCUGCAUGUGAUCUCUGCAGGGAGGCUGGGUCCCCCCCUCUGCCCACAAUGCCCUUUGAGGCCCUUCCCCUUCUAUAAACAGCUCCCCUCCCUGCUGGCUUGAUUUUCCUCGAAGCAUCCAUC
rnacentral:lncRNA from 1 species